CUCAAGGAAGCGCUUUGUCUACGUGCACAGAAAACGCUUCCUUGAGGGCCCGCUUUCUAUCUACGUAGGCAAAGCGCUUCCUUGAGG
rfam:Gossypium arboreum cultivar AKA8401 contig_10684_5, whole genome shotgun sequence.